GUAGGUGAACCUGCGGAAGGAUCAUUAACACGUAUUUUACGUUCUCACCCGUGAACUGUGUUAGCCAGGAAGGAGACUUUUUGAAAGGGGGCCUCAGAUCACACUUGUGUGUUCAGUCGCCGCUUUUCCCAAAGUCUCGAUUUGUACAUCUCCGGUUUUUUCAGCGAGUUUCCCAAGAGGGUACAAGUCACUUUGAUUGGGUUUCGGACAAGCCUGAUUGGUUUUUCCUGCACUCGUUAGGCUGAGUAGA
rnacentral:misc_RNA from 1 species